CAUGCAAGUCGAACGGAAAGGCCCUUUCGGGGGUACUCGAGUGGCGAACGGGUGAGUAACACGUGGGUGAUCUGCCCUGCACUUUGGGAUAAGCCUGGGAAACUGGGUCUAAUACCGGAUAGGACUACGCGAUGCAUGUCGUGUGGUGGAAAGCUUUUGCGGUGUGGGAUGGGCCCGCGGCCUAUCAGCUUGUUGGUGGGGUGAUGGCCUACCAAGGCGACGACGGGUAGCCGGCCUGAGAGGGUGUCCGGCCACACUGGGACUGAGAUACGGCCCAGACUCCUACGGGAGGCAGCAGUGGGGAAUAUUGCACAAUGGGCGCAAGCCUGAUGCAGCGACGCCGCGUGAGGGAUGACGGCCUUCGGGUUGUAAACCUCUUUCAGUACCGACGAAGCGCAAGUGACGGUAGGUACAGAAGAAGCACCGGCCAACUACGUGCCAGCAGCCGCGGUAAUACGUAGGGUGCGAGCGUUGUCCGGAAUUACUGGGCGUAAAGAGCUCGUAGGUGGUUUGUCGCGUUGUUCGUGAAAACUCACA
rnacentral:rRNA from 1 species